AUUGAACGCUGGCGGAAUGCUUUACACAUGCAAGUCGGGCGGCAGCAUGGACUUCGGUCUGAUGGCGAGCGGCGAACGGGUGAGUAAUGCAUCGGAACGUACCUAGUCGUGGGGGAUAACGUAGCGAAAGUUACGCUAAUACCGCAUACGUCCUACGGGAGAAAGCAGGGGAUCGCAAGACCUUGCGCGAUUGGAGCGGCCGAUGUCUGAUUAGCUAGUUGGUGGGGUAAUGGCCUACCAAGGCGACGAUCCAUAGCUGGUCUGAGAGGAUGAUCAGCCACACUGGGACUGAGACACGGCCCAGACACCUACGGGUGGCAG
rnacentral:rRNA from 1 species